rnacentral:rRNA from 1 species
UACGUAGGUGGCGAGCGUUGUCCGGAUUUACUGGGCGUAAAGGGAGCGUAGGCGGACUUUUAAGUGAGAUGUGAAAUACUCGGGCUCAACUUGAGUGCUGCAUUUCAAACUGGAAGUCUAGAGUGCAGGAGAGGAGAAUGGAAUUCCUAGUGUAGCGGUGAAAUGCGUAGAGAUUAGGAAGAACCCCGAUUGCGAAGGCAGCAUGCCGGCUUCCGACUGACGCUGAAGCACGAAAGCGUGGGGAUCGAACAGG